GCAUCUUGGGAAGCUCUCUUUACCCUUCAUAGAAAACUGAAGUGGCGAAUCCUGUGAUUAACUUCCAGACAGACUCUGAGAUGGAUGGAAGCCCCCGCUCCGCCACUGAGCCACAGCUGUUUGUCUCUGGGCUGUGCAUCCAUCUCCCAUGUGCCCCAGAGACUGCGACAGGGCAGUGAAGACGGACUGAGGCGCCGCACAGCCUUGACCACCACAAUGGCCACUGCGUGCUCCUCCCUCGGAUGUUCUUAGAGACUCUGAUAAGACAAAAUUUCAACCCGUCAAGAAGAAAAUGUCUAUUCCCAGAGGAAGACAGGAGAGGAGAUUCAACUAUUAUGUAAAGCAGACUGUAUGCAGAAGUACAAGAUGUAUUCUAUUCUCUGAGCUUCACUUCUGGAUUCUUAGUAAGUAUGACUGAGUUCCACACUUAGCUGCCAAAGAGCCUAACAGACAUUUUAGUGGAAUAGCGAAACUUCUCGUGACUUGGUCUAUCUCAGAUGCUCUUACCACAGUGUUACAAAGGUCCCUGUUUUCUUGUGUUAUGGUCCAGGUUCUAACUCCACCCCAGUUGGCAUUAAUUUGUGAACACUUUGACAAAUAGGCACAGUGUGCUAUUUCGGAGAGCUAAAUACAGAAUCCUCAGCGAUGCUGUAAACAGUUUUGAUGCUGAUGACAUUUAAACUCAGAUUUGAUCCAUUAAAAGCCCAUAUUAUUGUCAGAAACUCCUAAGUGCUAGCCUCUCUUAAUAGCACACCUUGAUCUAAUUCUCCUUGCUUUUAUUCCCACAUUAGGGAAAAUUGACACAGUCUCUGAGAGAUCCAGGUGUGGGUCAGGAUCCAAAUUGCAAUCACCAUGAAUAACAAAUUUCUCAGCCCUGCAGGAGGUCAUCUUCUUCCCUCUUUGUGGGCUGAUUUAGAAAUUGUCCUUAUUGCAUAAUAAGCUGAAAUGCCAUCAACAUCUCAGAGUGGUAGAGACUCAAGUGAUUAACUUCUUACAUAAAAUACAUCCACGUGUUGUUUGUUUAACAAAUCUCUCUCUCCUCUCCCCCUUCUGAGAGCUUAACUCACAAGACAUCUUAGAAAAUGGAGAUCAAAUCCACAGACAAAGCCUGGGAUAGCUCAGCCCCCAAACGCUCACCUUGAUG